rnacentral:tRNA from 1 species
GGGGGUGUAGCUCAGCUGGGAGAGCACCUGCUUUGCAAGCAGGGGGUCAUCGGUUCGAAUCCGUUCACCUCCA